rnacentral:rRNA from 1 species
AACGGGGGGGGCAAGCGUUAUUCGUCAUUAUUGGGCGUAAAGGGUAUGUAGGUGGGUUUUAGUAUUUUCUUGGUGAAAUAACAGAGAGCGACCUUUGUUCAAACUGUUUAAAGAAAAGACCUAGAGAUCGCGUAAGGUUAGAAGAAUUACUAAAGUAGGGGUAAAAUGUGCUGAUCUUAGUACGAAUGCCGCAUGCGCAGGCAUCUUUCUUUGCCAUCUGACACUGAGGUACGAAAGCAUGGGGAUCAAACAGG